UGACCUGUAGAGCCAGCCCACCCCAGC
rnacentral:piRNA from 1 species